rnacentral:tRNA from 1 species
GCGUCCUUAGCUCAGCUGGAUAGAGCAUCGGCCUUCUAAGCCGGGUGUCGCAGGUUCGAAUCCUGCAGGGCGCACCA